GCAUGCCGGGUGACAACCGGCCGUAACAGGGAAUUGGCGGACGCAGCUCAUUUUGCCGGUUUCUGGCUGCGACAUCAACGUAUCGGUACGCGCUGACGCCUAACCUGUUCCCGGC
rnacentral:sRNA from 1 species